GAUCCUGGCUCAGGAUGAACGCUAGCUACAGGCUUAACACAUGCAAGUCGAGGGGCAGCAUGACGAUAGCUUGCUAUUGUUGAUGGCGACCGGCGCACGGGUGAGUAACGCGUAUCCAACCUGCCCUUGUCCAUCGGAUAACCCGUCGAAAGGCGGCCUAACACGAUAUGCAGUUCUCAGCAGGCAUCUAACGAGAACGAAAUGUGAAGGAGAAGGAUGGGGAUGCGUCUGAUUAGCUUGUUGGUGGGGUAACGGCCCACCAAGGCGACGAUCAGUAGGGGUUCUGAGAGGAAGGUCCCCCACAUUGGAACUGAGACACGGUCCAAACUCCUACGGGAGGCAGCAGUGAGGAAUAUUGGUCAAUGGGCGAGAGCCUGAACCAGCCAAGUAGCGUGCAGGAUGACGGCCCUAUGGGUUGUAAACUGCUUUUAUGCGGGGAUAAAGUGGGCCACGUGUGGCUUAUUGCAGGUACCGCAUGAAUAAGGACCGGCUAAUUCCGUGCCAGCAGCCGCGGUAAUACGGAAGGUCCGGGCGUUAUCCGGAUUUAUUGGGUUUAAAGGGAGCGUAGGCCGUCUGAUAAGCGUGUUGUGAAAUGUCGGGGCUCAACCUGGGCAUUGCAGCGCGAACUGUCAGACUUGAGUGCGCGGGAAGUAGGCGGAAUUCGUCGUGUAGCGGUGAAAUGCUUAGAUAUGACGAAGAACUCCGAUUGCGAAGGCAGCCUGCUGUAACGCAACUGACGCUGAAGCUCGAAAGCGUGGGUAUCGAACAGGAUUAGAUACCCUGGUAGUCCGCACAGUAAACGAUGAAUACUCGCGAUUUGCGAUACACAGUAAGUCG
rnacentral:rRNA from 1 species